GACGAACGCUGGCGGCGUGUUUAACACAUGCAAGUCGAACGGAAAGGCCCUGCUUUUGUGGGGUGCUCGAGUGGCGAACGGGUGAGUAACACGUGAGUAACCUGCCCUUGACUUUGGGAUAACUUCAGGAAACUGGGGCUAAUACCGGAUAGGAGCUCCUGCUGCAUGGUGGGGGUUGGAAAGUUUCGGCGGUUGGGGAUGGACUCGCGGCUUAUCAGCUUGUUGGUGGGGUAGUGGCUUACCAAGGCUUUGACGGGUAGCCGGCCUGAGAGGGUGACCGGACACAUUGGGACUGAGAUACGGCCCAGACUCCUACGGGAGGCAGCAGUGGGGAAUAGUGCACAAUGGGCGGAAGCCUGAUGCAGCAACGCCGCGUGCGGGAUGACGGCCUUCGGGUUGUAAACCGCUUUCGCCUGUGACGAAGCGUGAGUGACGGUAAUGGGUAAAGAAGCACCGGCUAACUACGUG
rnacentral:rRNA from 1 species